UUUGGUGGUCAUAGCGCGAGCAAAACACCCAGCUCCAUCCCGAACCUGGCCGUUAAGUGCCGUAGCGCCGAUGGUACUGCGUCUUAAGACGUGGGAGAGUAGGUCGCCGCCAAAC
rfam:Oceanicola litoreus strain DSM 29440 genome assembly, contig: Ga0131108_11